rnacentral:rRNA from 1 species
AACGCUAGCUACAGGCUUAACACAUGCAAGUCGAGGGGCAGCAUGAACUUAGCUUGCUAAGUUUGAUGGCGACCGGCGCACGGGUGAGUAACACGUAUCCAACCUGCCGAUGACUCGGGGAUAGCCUUUCGAAAGAAAGAUUAAUACCCGAUGGCAUAGUUCUUCCGCAUGGUAGAACUAUUAAAGAAUUUCGGUCAUCGAUGGGGAUGCGUUCCAUUAGGUUGUUGGCGGGGUAACGGCCCACCAAGCCUUCGAUGGAUAGGGGUUCUGAGAGGAAGGUCCCCCACAUUGGAACUGAGACACGGUCCAAACUCCUACGGGAGGCAGCAGUGAGGAAUAUUGGUCAAUGGACGAGAGUCUGAACCAGCCAAGUAGCGUGAAGGAUGACUGCCCUAUGGGUUGUAAACUUCUUUUAUACGGGAAUAAAGUGGAGUAUGCAUACUCCUUUGUAUGUACCGUAUGAAUAAGGAUCGGCUAACUCCGUGCCAGCAGCCGCGGUAAUACGGAGGAUCCGAGCGUUAUCCGGAUUUAUUGGGUUUAAAGGGAGCGUAGGCGGGUGCUUAAGUCAGUUGUGAAAGUUUGCGGCUCAACCGUAAAAUUGCAGUUGAUACUGGGCGCCUUGAGUGCAGCAUAGGUAGGCGGAAUUCGUGGUGUAGCGGUGAAAUGCUUAGAUAUCACGAAGAACUCCGAUUG